AAAGCAUGGAUUGUGUGUAUCGGCGUAGUGCUACUCAAUGCGCUCUGAUCCGAAAGAUUUCCCUGCAACAUUCAUCUGGGGAAGGUGGGCAGUUGGGUUUCAUUUUAACCUAUUGAAAUCAUCAACAAUCAUCUUCCCCACAUCU